UACGUAGGGUGCAAGCGUUUGUCCGGAAUUAUUGGGCGUAAAGAGCUCGGUAGGCGGCUUGUCGCGUCGGCUGUGAAAACCUGGGGCUCAACCCCGGGCCUGCAGCCGAUACGGGCAAGCGUAGAAUUCGGUAGGGGAGGACUGGAAUUCCUGGUGUAGCGGUGAAAUGACGCAGAUAUCAGGAGGAACACCAAUGGCGAAGGCAGCUCGCUGGGACGUGACUGACGCUGAGACGCGAAAGCGUGGGGAGCAAACAGG
rnacentral:rRNA from 1 species